rnacentral:lncRNA from 1 species
GACGUGAAAUGGUGGCUAUAUUUUGAGAUUAUGGGUUUUAUUUUUCUUUUCUACUUUCCGUUUUCUCCAAUGAACAUAUAACUUCUAUAGUCAGAAAAGAGGUAGUGUACAAAAGUAUUUUUUAAAAUAUGUGCAUUUACUAGGGAUGAGGAAGAAAUGAAGCGGACAAGAGAGGAAGCAGUCAGACGGCCUAGGGGCCUCACUUUACCUGAAAGCAAUGAAAAGGAAUCUAGGAUGGCCGGAUGAUUGAUCACCAGGAAAAAUGACUUUUGGAAUAAAAAGGGAAAGAUCCAUCUAGAAAAGGCAGUCUUCACAAUGUUGUCAGAGUUCCUGUGAAUAUGUAGCACCCAAAUGAACGUCCUAUGUUUGAAGGGAGGAAAAGAAGGUGAGGAACAAGGCUCAGAAGAGUUUGUAAUUUCCCCGAGACCCAAUAAAGAGAAGGAGCUACUCUGACCCUCCUACACUGCGCUGCUUCAUUAUCUGUCUCGUAGAUGUAUCUUAGAUUUCUUAGACUUAAUUUGGUCUUUCUCCCUGAUAAUUUUUUAAUGUUUAAGGAGUUAUACCUUAUUUUUCU